UAGGGAAUCUUCCACAAUGGGCGAAAGCCUGAUGGAGCAACGCCGCGUGUGUGAUGAAGGUUUCGGCUCGUAAAACACUGUUGUAAGAGAAGAAUGACAUUGAGAGUAACUGUUCAAUGUGUGACGGUAUCUUACCAGAAAGGAACGGCUAACUACGUGCCAG
rnacentral:rRNA from 1 species